rnacentral:lncRNA from 1 species
CCCUGGUACCCAUGUCUGGCUAUUGAGCUCUUGAAACGUGUGAAAGGGGCUCACCGAUAGGACCUGCCAGUAGGAUCGGUGCACCAUCAUUUAAAGCAGCUGGGACAGGUGCAGGUACAUCUAACGAAUGCUGUUUCCUGUGCUUUCUUUCCUCUACGGGUCUCAGACCACGGACCAUGCCACACCGGCUCCUACCGAGUUUCUUUGCUGCUUUUAAGCCCCGUUUCUCACAUCUGAUGUUUUUGAAAUCUUUUUUUUUUUUUAAAUAAAACCUAAAUGCAGGAAUUUAUGUUUAUCCCUUUUAUAUGUUUUUUGGCCCAUUAUUUCAACCUGUCAAGAUAGUUUUGAGUCUCGAUUCUGCCAUCCUUUCUAUUACCAAUCCCUCCGGCUUUGUGUCAUCUGCAAAUUUGAUAAGCA